GUAAACGCUGUGUAAUGAGUUUGAUGGGCGCGCCCGUUGAACAUUCGAGGCGAAUUUAAACUGGAGUGGAGGGAGUUACCAUGGAAACGGGGCGGCAACUCAGCUGACAAGUAGCAAAUCUCUCCGUCUCUCACUGUUGUUUUUACUGCUUUCAGAAAUGGUUCAGUGUCAUGGGAAUAAGUCCGGUAGCAUCACAACCGUGAGCUAACAGAGGCUAACUAUAAGAGCAGAGUUGGAGUGGACCUCUUGUUGAAGAACUUCUCCAGGCACUAUGAACCAUCUGACUAGCCAUCCUGUUUAACACUGCACUGAGGACACUACAACCAGAGAGAUGCUGUCAUGAAAAGGCAACUGCUGGACACCUGGGACAGGCCAUCAAUUCCAAGUUGGCGGAACUGAGGUUUCAACUGAAGAAAAAGGAGACCUGUUAGAGUUUAGAGUUGUCUAAUAGAGAGGGUGAAGGAAGAACAUCCAAACCCUGCCCCUGCUUCCUUCAAGAUUUUUUAUGGAUUUAUAUAAUGGUGUUUUUUCGUAAAGUAAAGACAGUGGCAAAAUUAACAUGACACUACUUUGAUGUUUUGUUCUACAAAUUAAACCACACACACACUCCAAAAACACCAAUUUUGAUACAAUUUACAUUUGCAAGAAAAAAAAAAUCAAAGUAUUGUCAUGUUAAUUUUGCCACUGCCUUUACUUUACGA
ensembl:lncRNA